rnacentral:rRNA from 1 species
UACGAAGGGUGCAAACGUUGCUCGGAAUUAUUGGGCGUAAAGCGCACGUAGGCGGCUUAGCAAGUCGGAUGUGAAAUCCCUCGGCUCAACCAAGGAAGUGCAUCCGAAACUGCUGAGCUUGAGUACGAAAGAGGAUCGCGGAAUUCCCGGUGUAGAGGUGAAAUUCGUAGAUAUCGGAAGGAACAUCAGUGGCGAAAGCGGCUUCCUGGACCAGCACCGACGUUCAGGCACGAAAGCGUGGGGAGCAAACAGG